UUUAGUUUCAAUAGUUCUAGAAGAAAGUUCAAAAUACUUGCCACUAGGGGGCAGUGGUCUCUUUAAGAGACACAGGAAGUGGCAACAGGCAGCCAUGUUGGUAGGAUCCAUAGGAGGCAUUUAACAAACAGAACAGCCAUUGUACAACUCUGUCUGUUUACAUCAGCAAACAUCGGAAUUGUGCUAGACGGAGCGUCGUCGGUUUUCCUUUACCUGAUGUGAACGGUCACUCUGCACCAAACCGACGUCCUGCUGGAGUUUCUCUUCACGUCUCAGACAUGACGAAGAGCUCAAUUUUCAAAAGUCAGCGUCCUCUCAGCCGCGGUGAACUCUGGCUCCUCACUGCGACGUCACCCCGGCUGCUUUUCCUCUCUCCUGAGUUCAGCGUUUCUUCGACAGCGGCGUCCCGACACGCCGCGGAGGGCCAGGCAUCAAACAGCCCUCAGCCCCUCCGAGUGUUUCCCCCGGAGUCAUUUCCAUACAAGACAAAGCCCUCGGCUCCCCUCUCCUCUGUACUACAAGAAUAGAGAGCAGUCGAACAAAGGGGAAAACAAGUAAACAAACAAAAUGAUGUAUGAAUGUCACCGCGAUAAGAAGGAAGAAGGAGUAGUGCAUGUAUGUAAAUUAAAAUGAAUCCCUCUUUUUCCCCCCACUUAUGUCUCUGGUGUUCGGGACUGGAGGGAGCAGCGGGACAAGAGACGGUGUAGGUGGGCGAGAAGCGGACGAUCCCCCUGUCAGGCCACACCCCCUGGUCCCACGUCCGGUUGCAGAAGAGCCAACAUGGCGCUGGUCAACACGCAGAACUCGAUGCUUCAAAACGGCAGCUCACAGGCCAAACAGGCGACGUCACGGGCAGCUUCUGGAGAAAACCUCAGAAAAACUGCUCACAGACAUGAAAUUGACAUCUUGGUCAGCUGACUGCCGAAGCGCCGAACAUUACAAAAAGGUAAUAUCCGUUUCCCUCUGUUUACUUCACCGUUCUCUCUCUCUCUCUCUCUCCCUGGAAAGAAAAGCAGUGCUGCUCGCUGCGCUCUGCUGGGACAGUUUGGGUGAGGCUUGGUGGGACGCUGGUGAGCGAGCGCCAUCAAUAAUGCAGAAUGUUUCCGUGGCAAUUGCCUGGCAACCAGCGGUCGCAUCCUCUGUGUGUGUGUGUGUGUGUGUGUGUGUGUGUGUGUGUGUGUGUGUGUGUGUGUGUGUGUGUGUGUGUGUGUGUGUGUGUGUGUGUGUGUGUGUGUGUGUGUGUGUGUGUGUGUGUGUGUGUGUGUGUGUGUGUGUGUGUGUGUGUGUGUGUGUGUGUGUGUCUGUCUGUCUGUCUGUCUGUCUGUCUGUCUGUCUGUCUGUCUGUCUGUCUGUCUGUCUGUCUGUCUGUCUGUCUGUCUGUCUGUCUGUCUGUCUGUCUGUCUGUCUGUCUGUCUGUCUGUCUGUCUGUCUGUCUGUCUGUCUGUCUGUCUGUCUGUCUGUCUGUCUGUCUGUCUGUUGUGUGUGUGUGUGUGUGUGUGUGUGUGUGUGUGUGUGUGUUAAAGGAGGGAAUGAGUGUGAGAGAGGUAAGAAAAAUAAAUGGAGUGAGGGGGGAAAGGGGAAUGAGAGGGAGGCUGUAAGAGAAAGUAGGAAGUAGAGGAAGUUAAAAUAAAAGAUGAGGUACAGUUUCCUAUAGAUUACUGUACCUGUGCAUCAAGCAGCGCAACUGCUCAUAAUCCAAAUGAACAACAUACUGUAAAUGCACACACACACGCAACAGCAGCAGCAACGAGCCAGGAUGUAUUGAUGUGUGUUUGUUUUGUUUUUGUGUUCUCCACUAUAUUAUGAACUUGACAUCACCUUUGCGUAUCUGCCUUGUGUAUCUGCCUUGUGUGUGUGUGUGUGUGUGUGUGUGUGUGUGUGUGUAUUAAAUGUAACGAUCACAUUCCCUCAAGACUGAAAGUGAAAUUGCCAUUUCAGAUCAGUUGAUAGAAACAGAUCUGUAAAAUCAACAGGUGGUGGUUCAGUUGCCGGUAGGCCGGCCUACAGGAUACACGCUGGGGCUGUGUGUGUGUGUGUGUGUGUGUGUGUGUGUGUGUGUGUGUGUGUGUGUGUGUGUGUGUGUGUGUGUGUGUGUGUGUGUGUGUGUGUGUGUGUGUGUGUGUGUGUGUGUGUGUGUGUGUGUGUGUGUGUGUGUGUGUGUGUGUGUGUGUGUGUGUGUGUGUGUGUGUGUCCGGCAGGUCCCGUUAGAGAUUCUCUGUGUUUAAAACAUUCAUCGCUCCCCUUCUCCCCUCAUUUGUACCAGUGAAUUAUUAAACGCUCACCUAUUUUUCAAUUAUUCAAAUG
rnacentral:lncRNA from 1 species